AACGAACGCUGGCGGCAGGCUUAACACAUGCAAGUCGAGCGCCCCGCAAGGGGAGCGGCAGACGGGUGAGUAACGCGUGGGAAUCUACCCAUCUCUACGGAAUAACGCGUGGAAACGUGUGUUAAUACCGUAUACGUCCUUCGGGAGAAAGAUUUAUCGGAGAUGGAUGAGCCCGCGUUGGAUUAGCUAGUUGGUGGGGUAAAGGCCUACCAAGGCGACGAUGCAUAGCUGGUCUGAGAGGAUGAUCAGCCACACUGGGACUGAGACACGGCACAGACUCCUACGGGAGGCACCAGUGGGGAAUAUUGGACAAUGGGCGCAAGCCUGAUCCAGCCAUGCCGCGUGAGUGAUGAAGGCCCUAGGGUUGUAAAGCUCUUUCACCGGUGAAGAUAAUGACGGUAACCGGAGAAGAAGCCCCGGCUAACUUCGUGCCAGCCGCCGCGGUAACAC
rnacentral:rRNA from 1 species